rnacentral:lncRNA from 1 species
AAUACACUACUACCUCCAUCACCUCUAUCUACCCAACAACCCAAUAUACCGACGGAAACACACCCUACCCAUUGAUUUUGCCUAUUUCGCCACCACUCCUCUGUAAUUGAUUUCUUUGCAGAUAAGAAGCAUACCUAUUGUUUCACAUUGAUGCCCUAACCUCUGUUUGAAGACGACACAUGUAAACUUAGCUUUUCCAGUUGUUUCAUCAUGUGUACACCCACCGUUUCCUUAUAUUCUAAUACACACCUCGUUUCUCCAUUCCAUUGCUUUCAUGUUUUCCCAUUUCACUCUCCCUCACUAUCGAUGCGUUGGAUGUGCCUCUCUGCGUCUCUUUCUCUUUCGACGGAUUAGCACCAGAAAGAUCACAACAUCACGACGGUUAAUUUUGACGGUGAUUCAAGUUUCCACAAGAAACUCCAUGUCACGACAUCCUGCCCACCCGGUAUUUUCUUCUUCCCUAACGUCUUUUCUUCUUCCCUGACGCAUUUUCUUCUUCCAUGACUCUUUGCAAUGCUCCAAACCUAUAAGUUGUAUGAUCCGCAUCUAUUCAACUCCCGGUUCAUGUUUACAUUAAGGUUUUUUUUUGGGUUCUAACUUUGAGAUUUCUCCACCUUAAGUUUUCUUGAAGGAAGGUAUGUUACAUCUGUUCUUGCAUGUUUUCUAAAUUUUGGGUUUUCAUUCUUCUAUUUUUUGUUAUGUUAAUGUUGGGCAUUAUUGAUCUGUGAUGUGCAGCAAAUGUCUGGCGAAUAAAUUAUAGAUUGGUCAUGAUCCUAACAUGGAACUAGAAGAUGUCAGAGGGUAGAGGAGGUUUCAUAUGCGCCUUUCCUGGUAAUGAGAAUCCAAAACUUUAAUAGAAAUCAACUAGAUAACAAAAUCAAGAAGAGAAUAGCAAGCAACUUAUUUGAAAGUGAUGGCAAAACAAUCAAUUGAAAAGCUAUUGUGCAAGACCUUGUGCUAUAUAAAAAAAUCACAUGACAAGGCAAUUUCAUCUGCAGCUCAUUCACUUAUUUCAUUGUUCUGUAUGUGUUUGCAAUUAUUUGUUUGUUAGGUUAGAUGGGCAAAUUGGUCUUAUUUUCACACUUUCCGCCACUCUUAGUAAUCAAAGCAAGGGAAUUAUUGUGCAUGUUGAGCUUAAUUUUCAUGACAAGUUGUUUUGUGGUACUGUAAUGUAAUUACUCAUUCCCACUAAUUGUCAUUCAAUUCAGGUGGUAGUAUAUGACAAGGCAAAGCAGAAAGUGGAAUUCUUUGAUCCCUCUCCACCUUAAGAUUUCCUCUUCAUCUCAGGUACCAACAUAUGCAUAAUCUUGUAACUUGUUUUUUUUAUGGUUAUAAGGUUAUUCUCUUGUUGCCUAAUGUACUUUUUCUCCCCUUGUGUUACAUCCUACAGAUGUGAACUAUUUAUUCCUUUAAUAUUUACAUAUUGGAGUUAGUCAACAUUCUCAUGACUAACUGAUAUGCAGGUAAACAUCUUUCUGUUUUGAAAUUUAAAUUUGAAAUGAGUAACAAACAUUACAACAAUACUUGAAUAUGGGAUUAUUUAAAAAAAUAGAAUUACGAAUAUGCUUAAAACUAGCCGCUAUAGAGUUGUGGGGAUGGACAUCUAGGUCAUUUUGCAUGUUGAAAUUAGUCUAAAAUGAGCAGGGUCAAGUAAUUUUGCCUUUGACUUUGAUUUUCACCUCAACUUUGACCUUUAAGUUAUUUGUUACCUGAGAAUGAUUACAUGUUUUCAUACAGAUUUACAUACAUGAUAUAUGAUUGAUGACCUGAAGUCAUGGAUGAGCCGAAGUUGAUUCUUGAGAGUUUUGACAUUUGCUCUGACUUGAUUUUAUAAAAAGAAAAGUUAGCCAUAUGAGGUUAAUUAUGUUGCCUUUUCUACCCUUUAACCCCAUCGUGAUAUGUAGAUCAAACAAAGUACAUUAUCCAUACACAUUGUACAAUCCUAUUUUGUUUUUGGGUUAAAUGGAAAAAGGCCAAAAAAAUAGCAACUACAUUUUUUUUGUGAUUAAAUA